rnacentral:rRNA from 1 species
GGAAGACCUAAAAAUAGUGGCAAAAAGCCAACCGAGCUUGGUGAUAGCUGGUUACUCAACAAAUGAACUUUAGUUCAACUUUAGGUGCCCAUGGGCCAACUACUUUAACCCACCACCCUUUAACCUAAAGAAAUUCAAUGGGGGUACAGCCCCAUUGAACCGGAAUACAACCCGAAUUGAGAGACACCUACUAAACUUUAACCCUAACAGUAGGCCCCAAAGCAGCCACCAACUAAACGCGUUACAGCUACAACAAAACAAUUUUUACAAUAAUAUACACCUCCUAGUAUACCACGAGUUAUUCUAUUUUUUAAUAGAAACACCAAUGCUAAAAUUAGUAAUAAGAAACCCUAAUUUCUCUCCGCACCCCCUUAAAUCAGAAUAGAAAAACUACUGAUAAUUAACACAACACGACCUACAACAACUAGCUAACAUGUCAACUAAAAUCUGUUACCCCAACACAGGAGUGCAAAAAAGAAAGGCAAAAAGCCAUAAAAGGAACUCGGCAAACCCUACCGUCCCAACUGUUUACCAAAAACAUAGCCUUUAGCUCAACAAGUAUUAAAGGUCCCGCCUGCCCAGUGACUCUUUAAACGGGCCGCGGUAUCCUAACCGUGCAAAGGUA